rnacentral:rRNA from 1 species
GGAGGCCUACGGGACGCAGCAGUGAGGAAUAUUGGUCAAUGGGCGGAAGCCUGAACCAGCCAAGUCGCGUGAGGGAAUAAGGCCCUACGGGUCGUAAACCUCUUUCGCCGGGGAGCAAGGGCGGGGACGUGUCCCGGCCCGGAGAGUACCCGGAGAAAAAGCAUCGGCUAACUCCGUGCCAGCAGCCGCGGUAAUACGGAGGAUGCGAGCGUUAUCCGGAUUUAUUGGGUUUAAAGGGUGCGUAGGCGGGCUUU